rnacentral:rRNA from 1 species
CUGAUGCAGCAACGCCGCGUGAGCGAUGAAGGCCUUCGGGUCGUAAAGCUCUGUCCUCAAGGAAGAUAAUGACGGUACUUGAGGAGGAAGCCCCGGCUAACUACGUGCCAGCAGCCGCGGUAAUACGUAGGGGGCUAGCGUUAUCCGGAAUUACUGGGCGUAAAGGGUGCGUAGGUGGUUUUUUAAGUCAGAAGUGAAAGGCUACGGCUCAACCGUAGUAAGCUUUUGAAACUAGAGAACUUGAGUGCAGGAGAGGAGAGUAGAAUUCCUAGUGUAGCGGUGAAAUGCGUAGAUAUUAGGAGGAAUACCAGUAGCGAAGGCGGCUCUCUGGACUGUAACUGACACUGAGGCACGAAAGCGUGGGGAGCAAACAGGAUUAGAUACCCUGGUAGUCCACGCCGUAAACGAUGAGUACUAGGUGUCGGGGGUUACCCCCCGCGGUGCCGCAACUAACGCAAUAAGUACUCCGCCUGGGAAGUACGCUCGGAAGAGUGAAACUCAAAGGAAUUGACGGGGAGCCGCACAAGUUGCGGAGCACGUGGUUUAAUUCGAAGCAACGCGAACAAGCUUACCUAAUCUUGACGUCCCAUUGACCUCUCCCUAAUCGGAGAUUUCCCUUCGGGGACAGUGGUGACAGGUGGUGCAUGGUUGUCGUCAGCUCGUGUCGUGAGAUGUUGGGUUAAGUCGCGCAACGAGCGCAACUGCUUGCCUUUAGUUGCCAGCAUUAAAUUGGGCACUCUAGAGGGACUGCCCAGGAUAACUCGGAGGAGGUGGGGAUGACCUCGGAUCUCCAUGCCCCUCACGCGUAGGGCUACACACGUGCUACAAUGGCUGAUACAGAUGGAUGCCAUAGCCGCUCGGUGCAGCUAAACCCUUACAGCCAUUCUCACUUCAGACUGUGUGCUGACACUCGACGACAUGAAGCUGGAGUUACUAGUAAUCGCAGAUCAGAAUGCUGCCGUGGAAUGCCUUCCCCGGGUCUCGUACACUAUCGUCCGUGAAGACAGAGAUUACGACGCGCACGACGUCAGUGAUCUACCGUUUUGCAGCAGUCCGUCUU